CGGGAAGCAAACUGAAUCCUUCGGGAGGACGUCUGUGGAACGAGCGGCGGACGGGUGAGUAACACGUGGGCAACCUGCCUGUAAGACUGGGAUAACUCCGGGAAACCGGGGCUAAUACCGGAUAACUCAUCGAAUCGCAUGAUUCGAUGUUGAAAGAUGGCUUCUUGCUAUCACUUACAGAUGGGCCCGCGGCGCAUUAGCUAGUUGGUGAGGUAACGGCUCACCAAGGCCACGAUGCGUAGCCGACCUGAGAGGGUGAUCGGCCACACUGGGACUGAGACACGGCCCAGACUCCUACGGGAGGCAGCAGUAGGGAAUCAUCCGCAAUGGACGAAAGUCUGACGGUGCAACGCCGCGUGAGUGAGGAAGGCCUUCGGGUCGUAAAACUCUGUUGUUAGGGAAGAACAAGUUCCGUUCGAAUAGGGCGGAGCCUUGACGGUACCUAACCAGAAAGCCACGGCUAACUACGUGCCAGCAGCCGCGGUAAUACGUAGGUGGCAAGCGUUGUCCGGAAUUAUUGGGCGUAAAGCGCGCGCAGGCGGUUCCUUAAGUCUGAUGUGAAAGCCCACGGCUCAACCGUGGAGGGUCAUUGGAAACUGGGGAACUUGAAGACAGAAGAGGAGAGCGGAAUUCCACGUGUAGCGGUGAAAUGCGUAGAGAUGUGGAGGAACACCAGUGGCGAAGGCGGCUCUCUGGUCUG
rnacentral:rRNA from 1 species